GUCAAAGAGGGGGACCUUCGGGCCUCUCGCGUCAGGAUAUGCCUAGGUGGGAUUAGCUAGUUGGUGAGGUAAUGGCUCACCAAGGCGACGAUCCCUAGCUGGUCUGAGAGGAUGAUCAGCCACACUGGAACUGAGACACGGUCCAGACUCCUACGGGAGGCAGCAGUGGGGAAUAUUGCACAAUGGGCGCAAGCCUGAUGCAGCCAUGCCGCGUGUGUGAAGAAGGCCUUCGGGUUGUAAAGCACUUUCAGUCGUGAGGAAGGUAGUGUAGUUAAUAGCUGCAUUAUUUGACGUUAGCGACAGAAGAAGCACCGGCUAACUCCGUGCCAGCAGCCGCGGUAAUACGGAGGGUGCGAGCGUUAAUCGGAAUUACUGGGCGUAAAGCGCAUGCAGGUGGUUUGUUAAGUCAGAUGUGAAAGCCCGGGGCUCAACCUCGGAAUAGCAUUUGAAACUGGCAGACUAGAGUACUGUAGAGGGGGGUAGAAUUUCAGGUGUAGCGGUGAAAUGCGUAGAGAUCUGAAGGAAUACCGGUGGCGAAGGCGGCCCCCUGGACAGAUACUGACACUCAGAUGCGAAAGCGUGGGGAGCAAACAGGAUUAGAUACCCUGGUAGUCCACGCCGUAAACGAUGUCUACUUGGAGGUUGUGGCCUUGAGCCGUGGCUUUCGGAGCUAACGCGUUAAGUAGACCGCCUGGGGAGUACGGUCGCAAGAUUAAAACUCAAAUGAAUUGACGGGGGCCCGCACAAGCGGUGGAGCAUGUGGUUUAAUUCGAUGCAACGCGAAGAACCUUACCUACUCUUGACAUCCAGAGAACUUUCCAGAGAUGGAUUGGUGCCUUCGGGAACUCUGAGACAGGUGCUGCAUGGCUGUCGUCAGCUCGUGUUGUGAAAUGUUGGGUUAAGUCCCGCAACGAGCGCAACCCUUAUCCUUGUUUGC
rnacentral:rRNA from 1 species